UACGAAGGGGGCUAGCGUUGCUCGGAAUCACUGGGCGUAAAGCGCACGUAGGCGGAUCGUUAAGUCAGGGGUGAAAUCCUGGAGCUCAACUCCAGAACUGCCUUUGAUACUGAGGAUCUUGAGUUCGGGAGAGGUGAGUGGAACUGCGAGUGUAGAGGUGAAAUUCGUAGAUAUUCGCAAGAACACCAGUGGCGAAGGCGGCUCACUGGCCCGAUACUGACGCUUGAGGCACGAAAGCGUGGG
rnacentral:rRNA from 1 species